CCUUCGCACAUGUAGUACCUUGUGCAAUCAUUUUUGUCAGAGUGGUAUGAGAUGUGGUUGUCCUCUGAGUCGCAAACCACUUCAUUUGCUGUAACAAGCGGUUACACAUGGUGCUCAGAUACGUAAAUCGGUACAUUGUGAUGAACACAGCGUCGCCUGCAGGCGAUGAGAUAAUUUUUCAUGACUUUGAAUUCACCUUGUUCAUCAAACUCCGCUCGUCGUCAAAUCCAACCCAUUGAUCGUCUCUGUACGCGAAAGGAACCUGCUGUUCGCUAUCCCAAACUAAAGUAGUAUUGUCUUCAUUGAGGAAUGAGCACACCU